rnacentral:rRNA from 1 species
UUGGUUAAGUUAGAAAGGGCGCACGGUGGAUGCCUUGGCACUAGGAGCCGAAGAAGGACGGGACUAACACCGAUAUGCUUUGGGGAGCUGUACGUAAGCGUUGAUCCAGAGAUUUCCGAAUGGGGGAACCCACUAUCUUUAGUCGGAUAGUAUCCUUACGUGAAUACAUAGCGUGAGGAAGGCAGACCCAGGGAACUGAAACAUCUAAGUACCUGGAGGAAGAGAAAGAAAAAUCGAUUUCCUGAGUAGCGGCGAGCGAAACGGAAAGAGCCCAAACCAAGAAGCUUGCUUCUUGGGGUUGUAGGACACUCUAUACGGAGUUACAAAAGAAAGUUAUAAAUGAAGCGGUCUGGAAAGGCCCGCCAAAGACGGUAACAGCCCGGUAGUUGAAAUGGCUUUCCCUCCAGAGUGGAUCCUGAGUACGGCGGAACACGUGAAAUUCCGUCGGAAUCCGGGAGGACCAUCUCCCAAGGCUAAAUACUCCCUAGUGACCGAUAGUGAACCAGUACCGUGAGGGAAAGGUGAAAAGCACCCCGGAAGGGGAGUGAAACAGUUCCUGAAACCGUGUGCCUACAAGUAGUUAGAGCCCGUUAAUGGGUGAUAGCGUGCCUUUUGUAGAAUGAACCGGCGAGUUACGAUUUGUUGCAAGGUUAAGCGGAAAAAGCGGAGCCGUAGCGAAAGCGAGUCUGAAUAGGGCGCAUAAGUAACAGGUCGUAGACCCGAAACCAGGUGAUCUACCCAUGUCCAGGAUGAAGGUAAGGUAAUACUUACUGGAGGUCCGAACCCACGCACGUUGAAAAGUGCGGGGAUGAGGUGUGGGUAGCGGAGAAAUUCCAAUCGAACUUGGAGAUAGCUGGUUCUCUCCGAAAUAGCUUUAGGGCUAGCCUCGAGGUAAAGAGUCAUGGAGGUAGAGCACUGUUUGGACUAGGGGCCCUUCUCGGGUUACCGAAUUCAGAUAAACUCCGAAUGCCAUGUACUUAUACUCGGGAGUCAGACUGCGAGUGAUAAGAUCCGUAGUCGAAAGGGAAACAGCCCAGACCACCAGUUAAGGUCCCCAAAUAUAUGUUAAGUGGAAAAG